GUGGCCUAAAUUACAAGAUGCAUAUAAGCGUGUAACCGUAAUCUUCUCGAAUCAUUCUGAGUAUAGUCAUUUCUGUGGUAUAAAAUACGAGCAUCGGCAAUUUUGCAUUUUUUUUUAUUUAUUAAAUUUCGAAACAAAAAUGAAAUUGAGCGCACUGUGCAUUUUAGCUGUUCUAGGAUUUAUACUCACUAAACACACAUCAACCGGAUUUAUAAUGAAGAAGUUUUUUCAACAACCUACUGUCUCCCCAUGUCUUUGUCUUCAAAACCUUUUCGAACUACCAGAAUGUUUUGAAUCGAAAAUGAAUCCACCACAA